rnacentral:rRNA from 1 species
AUGGCAUAACGAGGGCUUAGCUGUCUCCUUUUUCCAGUCAAUGAAAUUGAUCUCCCCGUGCAGAAGCGGGGAUAAAUACAUAAGACGAGAAGACCCUAUGGAGCUUUAGACACUAAAGUGGAUCAUGUCAAUGACCCUAAACAAAGGAUUGAACCAAAUGGAACCCACCCUGAUGUCUUUGGUUGGGGCGACCGCGGGGAACUAAAUAACCCCCAUGUGGAAUGGGAGCACCCCUCCUACAGCUGAGAGUUACAACUCUAAUAAACAGAAUUUCUGACCAAAAAGAUCCGGCAAAGCCGAUCAACGGACCUAGUUACCCUAGGGAUAACAGCGCAAUCCUCUUUUAGAGCCCAUAUCGACAAGGGGGUUUACGACCUCGAUGUUGGAUCAGGACAUCCUAAUGGUGCAGCCGCUAUUA